AUUUUUUUAGAUUAUGGAAAAAGUUCCGGCCUUAAUCAUUCACAAGCGAAUGACUACAGCUAAAAGAGUUACAGGAGUUCUUAGACUCUAGACCUCACAUGAGGUACUCCACAAAUAUAAGAAAAAAACUAUAAAACAAAAAAAGAAAUUUAGAAGACUAAGUUUCAAUCUUCUUCUUCGUUCUCGCUUCAAUCUUGCAAUAUUUUCACAUAGUAUCAAUCCAUCACAUCACUCGUCUGCUUAGAAGCUUGAUGUUUGGAUAAUCUAUUGCAUACCCUUUUCAAUCUAUGCUUGCAGAUGAGUGCUAAAACAUCCCACUUGAGCCGAUUCCCACCAAGAUGAUGUGCACAAGGUGAGGAGGUGGCACCUUCGACGAUGCUUCCAACGAAGGUUGCGGCACCCAAGGGUCUCGCCGCCGCCGGCUCCAACCAAUGUUAGGCCGAGGCUUUCGUCCAGCACCGCCACGUUCACCCCCGCACAUCACCCAAAAGCAGCAACCAGCACUAUGAGCACGACCAAGAGCGAUCACCGCUGCCACUCCUGCAGAGCACCUCACGCCGCACAACCAUGGAAGAUGUGCUGGGGGAUGCGACGCCCUCAACAGGGAAGACCACGCCCACGGGCGCCGCCAUCGUCGAGGCUUUCGCCCAUGAAGCCCCAGCACAAAACCUCAAGCUAGGAUGCGAACCCUAGCUCGCCACCACCACUGUCGUCGGCGCCCUAUCAUCCCGUAGCAGCCCUGUCAGAGGGCAAACACACGGAGACUGGGUGCCGCACGCACUACCGCCGGAUGGUGCACCCCCACCGCCAAGGCGCCACGCCUCCCUCCGGCGGGGACGCCGCCGGGUCCUUCAGCUCGCCACCGCGCAGACCCCCGGCCGACGACCUAGCCACACCACCACCACACUCCUCAGCCACCGGUCCGCAGUCCUCCUCGAGCCACGAUCGCCGCCUCGCGCCAUUGUCUGCGGCCGCCAGGCAGCAGCGCGGCACUCGCGCCUCAAUCCGCCCGUCCUCACAAACGCUCACGUCUCAGGCCCGCAGAUCCUCUAGAGGAGGCUGCGGAUCCACCCCUGGGGGCCACAGAUCCAGUUAAAGGAACGCCGGAGUAGUCCCCAGAGCCGCCAGCGAACAACGUCGCCGCCGCCACCUGCGCAGCGCGCCAGGACGCUCCCAAUCGAGACGCCCCGCCGCCGCCCUCCUUGCCGUUGCUGGGCUUCCGGCCCUUAGCUCGGGCGACGGUGAGUACGGGGAGGUGGGGAGGAAGCCUGUGGCGGCGUGUGAUGCUAGUCCACCCACCCCAGCCCAAUUCUUAACUUCUUAUGCCAAGUGGCCUGCUUGUUGCUCUUGGCGUCAGGCCAACCUCCCAUGUCAUCCACUACCUACUUGUUGUUUUCUAUGACCUUUUUGCGUGGUUGUAAUCUUUCAAGAAUCUUUUAUUUAUAUAUAUACAUACAUACAUAUAUAUGUAUAUAUGUGUGUGUAUUUCGUUCCUGCCUCAAUCAAUUUUCGAAUAUGCUUUAUUAGUUUUCUGUUUUUUCAGUUGACUUGACUUGAGUAGUCUUUUUUUUUUAACUUAGAAAUGCUAGAGUACAUCUGUCUUUCGUGUAAUUUCAGUAUUCUCCAUCUCGGGCAAGUCGUUGAUUCCUUAAGCCUUAGAGGAGCCAUUGUUUCAAUAUGUUGAUCUGCUUCUUUGCUGAUUGGCCUAUCGGAUUAUAGUCUUCUUCGCUGGCCAUCGCUCGAUCGUGCUUCGCACACAAAGCUGCUUGGAGGAAGAAGCCGGAGGUGUGGGAAGAACGGAAACAAAAAGAUAAGAGGCAGUAAGAUCCUGCUUCAUUUUGUACAGGCGGCUGGGAGCCGUGAUGGCCGAUCUUACUCUUGGCAGCGUGGAGAAGAUUGUUCAAAUUGGGCUCGCCAUCAAGGAGGCUGCUGACACGGUUCAACAGAACAAGGAGGAGUGCCUUGAGAUCAAGAAGCGCGUGGUCAGAAUCACCGCCAUCCUUAAGCAACUGGAGGAGAAGAAGAUGAUGGACGACCCAAUGUUGGAGGACCCGCUGCAGGAUCUAGAGGAGGCCCUCCGGCAUGCUCUCACGCUCGUCACGGAUUGCCAGGAGAAGCAUAUCGUGUGCCUCUUCUGUACGGCCGGGGAGCUGUCCAAGCAGCUGCGCCGGGUACGGGAGGACAAUGCAGAUAAGAUGACGCUGGGAGUGUUCGCUGUCGUAGCCACAGCCACUGUUAACAUCACCAUUAUCAUGGAAAGAAUUGAAUGUCCUGCACAGCCACAGGAUGCCGAAGCAGUGCAGUCCAUGGCGAGCAGUUCUUGGGCCGCUUGUUCUAGAAUUGAAACGGACGUCAAGGAAAACAAUGUACCAGCAGGAAGUGACCCGCCCUUUGCUUCCUUAUUAGUACCUGGGUUCACAAAGUUCAGUUUCUCUGAGAUGAGAGAGGCUACAAAUAACUUUUCCAAAGAUAACUUCAUUGGAAGAGGUGCCUUUUCUUGUGUCUACAAGGGUCGGCUACAAGAUGGACAAGUGGUCGCCAUAAAGAGAUUUGGAGGUCCUGAAUCUUUUGACGGGAACUACGCAGAGAAAGAAAUCCAGUUAAUUUCCAAGCUUGAGCACAAUAAUAUAGUAAAAUGUCUGGGAUAUGCGCUUGAUGAAGUCCAAACGGCAGAAUUAACGCUGCCCAACAGCAGAAUAGUGUUGGCUGAAAAAAGGCACUUUUGCAUUGUCAACGAAUACAUGCCUAAUGGGGAUUUGGAGGGAAUCAACGACCGUGUUGAUUUCCCGCACCGCACGAUAUAUAUGUAUUUUGCGGGGUCAGGAGGAGUUCAUUGGUCGUCUCGUUUGCAGCUAAUUCAGGGGAUAGCCCAGGGCAUACAUUACCUGCAUGGGAAGAAUAUUGUUCAUAUGGAUCUGAAACCAAACAACAUACUCCUGGACACUAACAUGAAUGCUAAGAUUACAGAUUUUGGGUUAUCUAUGAUGUUUAUUGAUAAUCAAACAGAGGUGAUGUCCGACAUCGUCGUAGGCACACAGGGCUAUAUGGCACCAGAAUAUAUUAUGGAGGGCAAGGUAUCGCACAAGUUGGACAUGUUCUCUUUUGGCGUCAUUCUUCUUAGAGCCAUUAUUGGCGGUAUGUUCAAAGAUGGCCCACCAAGAGGCAUUUGGGAUUAUAAUCAGGUCGAGUUGAGGGAUACUAGAAAAAUGAAGGGGCUACUUGAUCCGUCCUUGUUUCACGAGUCCCAGCUGGAGGAGAUAAAAAGUUGCUUCAAGAUUGGUCUGGCGUGUGUUGAUUCCGAUCACAAAAAACGGCCAACCAUCGAUGAAGUUGUCCGGAAGCUAGACAAGAUUAAACAAAAAGCGGGGACUCCAGAGAAUCCAAGCAGCAUGCUACGCCGGCUGAAUACUCUGACAUCAAUGGGAGGGCGCCACUGAUGUGGAUUUUCAGCGUUUAUUUGGAACCGAACCUCCCGUACAAUGUGGCGUUGGGAACUCACCAUACGUAGUACGAGGGAAAAAAGGCUGAAGAAUCUGGGAUGGAUGGAGCUGUGACUAGCAAAUGUGCAGAACAAACCGAUGGGGCAUCCUGGGAAGGGGGCAAACACACCUUCUGUACGUUCUGUGUCAUACAUGGUAGAGGAGGAAGCAAGCAUGAUUUCACACCUCCUAAGUUUGUACUGGUAUCUCGCUCAUGUUCAUCUUCGCGACCAACAUUAUAUUGUACACUCAUGGUUCCAGAUACUAUUAUGUGUUGCAAAUGGAAUUUCACAUCUGACGGAGACAUUGCAUUGUUAGACCAUCUCCAAGAGACUCAAAGUAGUUGAAUAGCUAAAAAUAGCCAAACUGAGGUAAAAACCAGAUCCAGCAUUUGGAAGGUAAAAGCAGGUGAGGCCGGGUGAAAGAGGUGUUUGGCGGCUUAGCAUACAACGCAAUGAUAAUAUUACUAGCUGGGUAAUAAGUACCUGAAUCCAGCACCUCCUAAGUUUGUACUGGUGUCUCGCUCAUGUUCGUCUUCGCGACCAACAUUGUAUUGUACACUCGUGGUUCAAGAUACUAUUAUGUGUUGCAAAUGGAAUUUCACAGCUGACAGAGACAUUGCAUUGUUAGAGCA